UGCGAUUGAGCUGGACACCCCCUCUAUGACUGCAGAGCAAGUAGCUGCCAUUGAGCAGAGCGUCAAUGAAAAAAUCAGAGAUCGGCUGCCUGUGAAUGUCCGAGAACUGAGCCUGGAUGAUCCUGAGGUGGAGCAGGUAAGGGUAGAGCCAGAGGGAUGGUUUCUGCGGAAUGAUUCCUCAUCAGAUUCAGACAGUCCCUCCCCUCUCCUUGAGUCCAGGUGAGUGGCCGGGGUUUGCCUGAUGAUCAUGCUGGGCCCAUUCGGGUUGUUAACAUCGAGGGCGUUGAUUCCAACAUGUGCUGUGGGACCCAUGUGAGCAAUCUCAGUGACCUUCAGGUCAUUAAGAUUCUGGGCACUGAGAAGGGGAAAAAGAACAGAACCAACCUGAUAUUUCUGUCUGGGAACCGGGUGCUGAAGUGGAUGGAGAGAAGUCAUGGAACUGAAAAAGCACUGACUGCUCUGCUUAAUUGCCUAAGAGACCUCCUCAGAAUAUCUCCUGGUCCCUGACUGCAGGGAGGCACCAUAGCAAGAAGGAAAUUAUUGAUUUAUGUCCCCAACAUC
rnacentral:lncRNA from 1 species